UAGGGAAUAUUGGUAAUGGGCGAAAGCCCGAACCAGCAACGCCGCGUGCGCGAUGAAGGCCUUCGGGUUGUAAAGCGCUUUUUAAGGGGAUGAGGAAGGACAGUACUCUUAGAAUAAGCCUCGGCUAACUACGUGCCAGUAGCCGCGGUAAAACGUAGGAGGCGAGCGUUAUCCGGCUUUACUGGGCGUAAAGCGUGUGUAGGCGGUUUGAUAAGUUGGAUGUGAAAGCUCCCGGCUCAACUCGGAGAGGUCGUUCAAAACUAUCAGACUUGAGAGUGGUAGAGGGAGGUGGAAUUCCGCGUGUAGGGGUGAAAUGCGUAGAUAUGCGGAGGAACACCAGUGGCGAAAUCGGCCUCCUGGCCCAUUUCUGACGCUCGGACACGAAAGCUAAGGUAGCAAACGG
rnacentral:rRNA from 1 species